GCCAGUGUGGUGUAAUGGGUUGAGCACUAGGCUAUGACUCUGUAGACCAGGAUUCAAAUCCCAGCUCAGCCA